rnacentral:rRNA from 1 species
GAUGAACGCUGGCGGCGUGCCUAAUACAUGCAAGUCGAGCGAACAGACGAUGAGCUUGCUCCGCUCACGUUAGCGACGGACGGGUGAGUAACACGUGGAUAACCUACCUAUAAGACUUGGAUAACUUCGAGAGACCGGAGCUAAUACCAGAUAAUAUAUUGAACCGCAUGGUUCAAUAGUGAAAGACGGGUUUGCUGUCACCUAUAGAUGGAUCCGCGCCGCAUUAGCUAGUUGGUAAGGUAACGGCUUACCAAGGCAACGAUGCGUGGCCGACCUGAGAGGGUGAUCGGCCACACUGGAACUGAGACACGGUCCAGACUCCUACGGGAGGCAGCAGUAGGGAAUAGUCCGCAAUGGGCGAAAGCUUGACGGAGCAACGCCGCGGGAGUGAUGAAGGUCUUCGGAUCGUAAAACUCUGUUAUUAGGGAAGAACAAAUGUGUAAGUAAAUAUGCACGUCUUGACGGUACCUAAACAGAAAGCACCGGCUAACUACGUG